rnacentral:rRNA from 1 species
UACAGAGGGUGCAAACGUUGUUCGGAAUUACUGGGCGUAAAGCGCACGUAGGCGGCUUUGCAAGUCAGAGGUGAAAGCCCGGGGCUCAACCCCGGAAUUGCCUUUGAGACUGCAUCGCUAGAAUUGUGGAGAGGUAAGUGGAAUUCCGAGUGUAGAGGUGAAAUUCGUAGAUAUUCGCAAGAACACCAGUGGCGAAGGCGGCUUACUGGACCGGUUCUGACGCUGAGGCGCGAAAGCGUGGGGAGCAAACAGG